rnacentral:rRNA from 1 species
GCUUACGUCCAUACCAACCUGGCUAUGCCCGAUCUCGUCUGAUCUCGGAAGCUAAGCAGGUUUGGGCCUGUUUAGUACUUGGAUGGGAGACCGCCUGAGAAUACCAGGUGCUGUAAGCU